AACGAACGCUGGCGGCAGGCCUAACACAUGCAAGUCGAGCGGACCUUUCGGGGUCAGCGGCGGACGGGUGAGUAACGCGUGGGAAUAUGCCCUUCUCUACGGAAUAGUCCUGGGAAACUGGGGGUAAUACCGUAUACGCCCUUUGGGGGAAAGAUUUAUCGGGGAAGGAUUAGCCCGCGUUGGAUUAGGUAGUUGGUGGGGUAAUGGCCUACCAAGCCGACGAUCCAUAGCUGGUUUGAGAGGAUGAUCAGCCACACUGGGACUGAGACCCGGCCCAGACUCCUACGGGAGGCAGCGGUGGGGAAUCUUAGACAAUGGGGGCAACCCUGAUCUAGCCAUGCCGCGUGAGUGAUGAAGGCCUUAGGGUUGUAAAGCUCUUUCAGCUGGGAAGAUAAUGACGGUACCAGCAGAAGAAGCCCCGGCUAACUCCGUG
rnacentral:rRNA from 1 species